GAAUCCCGUCUUUGGCAUGGAUGACCGGGGCUUUUGUGAUGCGCUCUCGAAGAGUCGAGUUGUUUGGGAAUGCAGCUCAAAAUGGGUGGUGAACUCCAUCUAAAGCUAAAUAUUGGCGAGAGACCGAUAGCGAACAAGUACCGUGAGGGAAAGAUGAAAAGCACUUUGGAAAGAGAGUGAAACAGUACGUGAAAUUGUUGAAAGGGAAACGCUUGAAGUCAGUCGCGUCGGCCGGGACUCAGCCUUGCCUCGGCUUGGUGUACUUCUUGACCGACGGGUCAGCAUCAAUUUUGCCCCUUGGAUAAUGGCGAGGGAAAUGUGACACCUUUAUAGGUGUGUUAUAGUCUCUCGUCGCAUGCAAGGGUCGGGAUUGAGGAACUCAGCACGCGCCUUCGGGCGUCGGGGCCUUGCCCACGAUACGUGCUUAGGAUGUUGGCGUAAUGGCUUUAAACGACCCGUCUUGAAACACGGACCAAGGAGUCUAACAUGCCCGCGAGUGUUCGGGUGGAAAACCCGUGCGCGCAAUGAAAGUGAAAGUUGGGACCUCUGUCGCGGAGGGCACCGACGCCCGGACCAGAGCUUCUGCGACGGAUCUGCGGUGGAGCGUGUAUGUUAGGACCCGAAAGAUGGUGAACUAUGCCUGAAUAGGGUGAAGCCAGAGGAAACUCUGGUGGAGGCUCGUAGCGAUUCUGACGUGCAAAUCGAUCGUCAAAUUUGGGUAUAGGGGCGAAAGACUAAUCGAACCAUCUAGUAGCUGGUUCCUGCC
rnacentral:rRNA from 1 species